GGGAUAUUUGUUGUGAACCUAAAUGCAAAUACGAAUGUAGGAUUACGACACAAAGGAGAACCCAAUCUUGACACAAUUUGCAGCCACGACGGCUGCACCUGUUGAACACAGCUCACCAGUCAAACGCAUUGCAGCAAACCUCACCGCAGCUCCACGACUCCGCAAUUGACAAUAUAGGUUCAAUCUUGAUAAACAAUAGAGAUUACUGAUUGCGCUGAUCACCAGUUAGCACAAGUGAAGGAACAUAAUGA
rnacentral:lncRNA from 1 species